AGCGUUCAUCGGAAUUACUGGGCGUAAAGCGUGCGCAGGCGGUUUGUUAAGUCUGCUGUGAAAUCCCCGAGCUCAACUUGGGAAUUGCAGUGGAUACUGGCAAGCUAGAGUAUGGUAGAGGAAGGUGGAAUUCCCGGUGUAGCAGUGAAAUGCGUAGAGAUCGGGAGGAACAGCAGUGGCGAAGGCGGCCAUCUGGGACAACACUGACGCUGAAGCACGAAAGCGUGGGGAGCAAACAGG
rnacentral:rRNA from 1 species